AGCAGCAGCCGCGGUAAUACGAAGGGUGCAAGCGUUAAUCGGAAUUACUGGGCGUAAAGCGUGCGUAGGCGGUUUGUUAAGUCUGCUGUGAAAUCCCCGGGCUCAACCUGGGAAUGGCAGUGGAUACUGGCAAGCUAGAGUGUGUCAGAGGAUGGUGGAAUUCCCGGUGUAGCGGUGAAAUGCGUAGAGAUCGGGAGGAACAUCAGUGGCGAAGGCGGCCAUCUGGGACAACACUGACGCUGAGGCACGAAAGCGUGGGGAGCAAACAGGAUUAGAUACCCGUGUAGUCCCUGUCUCUUAUAC
rnacentral:rRNA from 1 species